rnacentral:rRNA from 1 species
UACAGAGGUCUCGAGCGUUAGGCGGAAUCACUGGGCUUAAAGCGUGUGUAGGUGGAUGCCUAAGUACCUUGUGGAAUCCCACGGCUUAACCGUGGAACUGCUUGGUAUACUGGGUGUCUUGAGUCACUCAGGGGCGAGCGGAACAAAUGGUGGAGCGGUGAAAUGCGUAGAUAUCAUUUGGAACGCCAAUGGUGAAAACAGCUCGCUGGGGGUGCACUGACACUGAGACACGAAAGCCAGGGGAGCGAACGGG